UUUUUUUUAAAUAUCAGAUGUUUACUAGCUAAAAUUAACUAUUAUUUAGAGCUCUGUAAAUAAAAAAAAAAGUAAGCAAAGCUCUAGAUAAUAGAUACAUAGGGGGGAAGAAAUUAUAGGUCACUAAAGUGAUUUGGUAAAAUUUUCAAAAAAGGGGAUUGUUUGAAAGUGCAUCUGACAUUUUUGAUAUGUAUAACUUUUAUUUUUGUAAAUACAAAUGGAAAAAAAAAUAGAUUGACAAUAAGAUAAUGAGGACAGCCACCUUCAAGUUGGCAGCCAGGAGAGCAGCUCCAUGGAAGAUGGUCAAUUAAAUCUUCAACCAAGUCUCAGGCUUUAGCAAGAAAAAUAUUUGGUGGUUGUAAUGACAAGGUUUUCAUGGUGUUGGGAGUAAGACUUGGAUAUCUGACACUGUUAACAUAUUGGUUAGCAUCACAGCAUUUCCAUAGGGUUACUUGCUGGGAUAGCAAUUAGAGCUGUUUUAAGUUGAAAUUGUUACUGUUGCUGCCUUGUAUGGUAAAAUCCUCAGGCAAUAAUCCUGAAACCAUUGGAUGAACUAUUGCAAUAUUUUUUAGUAGAAUCUGUAGACAGUAGUCUUGUAAGCAGAAGAAUGAAUUGUUAACAAAUUUAGUUUUUAAUGCUGUAUCAAUUUAUCUAAAAUCCAAAUUAUAAAUAUUUUUUUCCUUAUUUGUACUUGCAUUCCAUUAUUGUAUAGUGAUUGAUGAAAAAUAAAGCUGUGAAAUUAUUGUUAUUUGAGGGGACUCAAAAGUAUGCCAUAUGGUUUCACGAAAUACC